GACGAACGCUGGCGGCGUGCUUAACACAUGCAAGUCGAACGGAAAGGCCCUGCUUUUGUGGGGUGCUCGAGUGGCGAACGGGUGAGUAACACGUGAGUAACCUGCCCUUGACUUUGGGAUAACUUCAGGAAACUGGGGCUAAUACCGGAUAGGAGCUCCUGCUGCAUGGUGGGGGUUGGAAAGUUUCGGCGGUUGGGGAUGGACUCGCGGCUUAUCAGCUUGUUGGUGGGGUAGUGGCUUACCAAGGCUUUGACGGGUAGCCGGCCUGAGAGGGUGACCGGCCACAUUGGGACUGAGAUACGGCCCAGACUCCUACGGGAGGCAGCAGUGGGGAAUAUUGCACAAUGGGCGGAAGCCUGAUGCAGCAACGCCGCGUGCGGGAUGACGGGCUUCGGGUUGUAAACCGCUGUCGCCUGUGACGAAGCGUGAGUGACGGUAAUGGGUAAAGAAGCACCGGCUAACUACGUG
rnacentral:rRNA from 1 species